UACGGGGGGGGCAAGCGUUGUUCGGAAUUACUGGGCGUAAAGGGCUCGUAGGCGGCCAACUAAGUCAGACGUGAAAUCCCUCGGCUUAACCGGGGAACUGCAUCUGAUACUGGAUGGCUUGAGUUCGGAAGAGGGAUGCGGAAUUCCAGGUGUAGCGGUGAAAUGCGUAGAUAUCUGGAGGAACACCGGUGGCGAAGGCGGCAUCCUGGACCGACACUGACGCUGAGGAGCGAAAGCCAGGGGAGCAAACGGG
rnacentral:rRNA from 1 species